rnacentral:rRNA from 1 species
GAUGAACGCUGGCGGCGUGCCUAAUACAUGCAAGUCGAGCGAACGGACGAGAAGCUUGCUUCUCUGAUGUUAGCGGCGGACGGGUGAGUAACACGUGGAUAACCUACCUAUAAGACUGGGAUAACUUCGGGAAACCGGAGCUAAUACCGGAUAAUAUUUUGAACCGCAUGGUUCAAAAGUGAAAGACGGUCUUGCUGUCACUUAUAGAUGGAUCCGCGCUGCAUUAGCUAGUUGGUAAGGUAACGGCUUACCAAGGCAACGAUGCAUAGCCGACCUGAGAGGGGGAUCGGCCACACUGGAACGGGAACACGGUCCAGACCCUACGGGAGGCAGCAGUAGGGAAUCUUCCGCAAUGGGCGAAAGCCUGACGGAGCAACGCCGCGUGAGUGAUGAAGGUCUUCGGAUCGUAAAACUCUGUUAUUAGGGAAGAACAUAUGUGUAAGUAACUGUGCACAUCUUGACGGUACCUAAUCAGAAAGCCACGGCUAACUACGUG